UACGUAGGGUGCGAGCGUUAAUCGGAAUUACUGGGCGUAAAGCGUGCGCAGGCGGUUAUAUAAGACAGUUGUGAAAUCCCCAGGCUCAACUUGGGAACUGCGUCUGAUACUGGAUGGCUUGAAUUCGGGAGAGGGAUGCAGAAUUCCAGGUGUAGCGGUGAAAUGCGUAGAUAUCUGGAGGAAUACCGGUGGCGAAGGCGGCAUCCUGGACCGAGAUUGACACUGAUGAGCGAAAGCUAGGGGAGCAAACGGG
rnacentral:rRNA from 1 species